AACUAUAACGGUCCUAAGGUAGCGAAAUUCCUUGUCGGGUAAGUUCCGACCCGCAUGAAAGGCGUAAUGAUUUGGGCACUGUCUCAACGAGGGGCCCGGUGAAAUUGAAAUACCUGUGAAGAUGCAGGUUACCCGCGACUGGACAGAAAGACCCCAUGGAGCUUCACUGCAGCUUGAGAUUGAAUCCCGGUGACAGAUGCACAGGAUAGGUGGGAGGCGCCGAAGCAUUGCCCUAGGGCGGUGCGGAGCCGAUGUUGGGAUACCACCCUUCUGUUGCUGAGAUUCUAACGCGAGGAGUAACGACCCUGCGGACCCUCUCAGGCAGGCGGUUUGACUGGGGCGGUCGCCUCCGAAAGAGUAACGGAGGCGCCCAAAGGUUCCCUCAGGUCGGACAGAAACCGACCGACGAGUGCAAAGGCAGAAGGGAGCUUGACUGCGAGACCAACAAGUCGAGCAGAGACGAAAGUCGGGCUUAGUGAUCCGGUGGUACUGAGUGGAAAGGCCAUCGCUCAACGGAUAAAAGCUACCCUGGGGAUAACAGGCUAAUCUCUCCCAAGAGUUCAUAUCGACGGGGAGGUUUGGCACCUCGAUGUCGGCUCAUCACAUCCUGGGGCUGGAGUAGGUCCCAAGGGUUGGGCUGUUCGCCCAUUAAAGUGGUACGCGAGCUGGGUUCAAAACGUCGUGAGACAGUUUGGUUCAUAUCCAUCGCGGGCGCAAGAAGUUUGAGAGGAGCUGCUCCUAGUACGAGAGGACCGGAGUGGACGGAUCAACGGUGUCCCAGUUGUCACGCCAGUGGCACGGCUGGAAAGCCGCAUCCGGGAAGGAUAAACGCUGAAAGCAUCUAAGCGCGAAGCCAACCUCAAGAUGAGACUUCUCAUCAGCAAUGAGUAAGACCCCUUACAGACGAUGAGGUAGAUAGGUUAUGAGUGGAAGAGCCGCAAGGCUUGGAGCGACAUAAAACUAAUAGGUCGAGGUCUUAACUUA
rnacentral:rRNA from 1 species